CCUACGGGAGGCAGCAGUGAGGAAUAUUGGUCAAUGGACGAGAGUCUGAACCAGCCAAGUAGCGUGAAGGAUGACUGCCCUAUGGGUUGUAAACUUCUUUUAUAUGGGAAUAAAAUGUUCCACGUGUGGGAUUUUGUAUGUACCAUAUGAAUAAGGAUCGGCUAACUCCGUGCCAGCAGCCGCGGUAAUACGGAGGAUCCGAGCGUUAUCCGGAUUUAUUGGGUUUAAAGGGAGCGUAGGUUGAUUGUUAAGUCAGUUGUGAAAGUUUGCGGCUCAACCGUAAGAUUGCAGUUGAAACUGGCAGUCUUGAGUACAGUAGAGGUGGGCGGAAUUCGUGGUGUAGCGGUGAAAUGCUUAGAUAUCACGAAGAACUCCGAUUGCGAAGGCAGUUCACUGGACUGCAACUGACACUGAGGCACGAAAGUGUGGGUAUCAAACAGGAUUAGAUACCCCGGUAGUC
rnacentral:rRNA from 1 species